rnacentral:tRNA from 1 species
GGGCAAGUGGCGGAAUCUGGUAUACGCGUAUGGCUUAGGACCAUAUCCCUUUUGGGUUGUGGGUUCGAAUCCCACCUUGCCCA